UCCGACUUGAAGUCGGCAGUCUCUCAAGAAAAAUACAACUUGAGACAUGGGUUGCGCUCGUUCACGGACUUAACCGAACACCUCAAGGCACGAGCUGACGACAACCAUGCAGCACCUGUCACCGAGUUCCUUGCGGCACAUCCACCUUUCGGCAGACUUCUCGGGAUGUCAAGUCUUGGUAAGGUUCUUCGCUUGUUGUCGAAUUAAACCAGAUGCUCCACCGCUUGUGUGGGUCCCCGUCUAUUCCUUUGAGUUUUAAUCUUGCGAUCGUACUACCCAGGCGGAACACUUAACGCGUUAGCUACGUCACUGAGGGGGUCGAAUCCCUCAACAACCAGUGUUCAUCGUUUAGGGCGUGGACUAC
rnacentral:misc_RNA from 1 species